CCGGAAUCGUGGAAUCAUUUUGUACAAACGAUUUCGACGUGAUGUAGUUUUACCUAUCUAAAAUAUAAUACAAAAUACCUACGAGUCAAACUUUUUACUUCCAUUCGUUGUAUAAUAUUAUAAUGUAUUAUAAAUAUCGCACCCAAGAAAGAAUAGGUUAGCGGCACAAAUAUUUGAAAACGAUGUGAAAUCGACUUAUAACGUUUCACCAUUCUUCGUA